rnacentral:rRNA from 1 species
GAUGAACGCUAGCGACAGGCUUAACACAUGCAAGUCGAGGGGCAUCACGGGUAGCAAUAUCUGGUGGCGACCGGCGAACGGGUGAGUAACGCGUAUGCAACCUACUUGUAAACGGGAGACAACCUGGAGAAAUUUGGGCUAAACUUCCAUGAGGCAUUAUUACUGCAUGGUAAUGAUGUCAAACGUAAGGUUUACAAAUGGGCAUGCGUAUGAUUAGCUAGUUGGUAGGGUAACGACCUACCAAGGCGACGAUCAGUAGGGGGCGUGAGAGCGUGGUCCCCCACACGGGUACUGAGACACGGACCCGACUCCUACGGGAGGCAGCAGUAAGGAAUAUUGGUCAAUGCCCGCAAGGGGUGAACCAGCCAGUUCCGCGUGGAGGAUGAAGGCCCUAUGGGUUGUAAACUUCUUUUAGAUGGGAAGAAAAUGCUAGAUGUAUCUGGUACUGACGGUACAUCAGAAUAAGCACCGGCUAACUCCGUGCCAGCCAGCCGCGUAAAGCUACGU